CGCACCCACGGCCCCUGCUUCCCUCCGUCACCAACCCAGCCUCUGCGUGAUCUGGAAUCCCAUUCUCUCCAUGGACAGUUGUACAGAACCCACACAUUCCUUUCUUCUGUGUUUCUUCUCCGGGGUCGUUGGUGCUGUGAGCCAUGGAAAUGGCUCUUGUGCUAGUCCCCAGGCCUGGGAGUGUCACAGACAGUGUCCCCAGCAGCUGCGACCCGCCCCAGGAGGCCCCACCUCUGCCCACCGUGCCCCUAGCCCCACGGCCCUGGCCAUCCUCUCCUCCACGUUGUCGCUGGAUGGCACCAAAUACCCGCAGGACCUCAGCACUGGCCAUCACCAGGCCACUGUCCCAAUGGAGGGCACCUCUACUGAAAGCCUCCGGAUCAGCACAAUGGUUCUGUCCUUCACCCCAGGGUGUGCCUCCGGGACGUUUCCUCAUCACCAUCAACAGAGAGAGGAGGGACGAGACACACGUAAGAACGACUGUAUACAUCAGCCGAGUUUCUGUUGCCCCGUCAGCUGCCACGCCUCUGUGGGGACUUUCCUCUGGGUCGUGUCUGUCUGAUGCUGUCCACUUGUCAUCCGGCAGAGGUUCCAGCUGAGAGAAGACAGCAGCAGGCAUAGAGACGAAUGAGUACAAUUUCAGAUGUUUCUGAAGUGAGAAAUCGGGGCCACAGCGGAAAAGACCACUGUGUUCCUGAAAUUUGGUGUCAAAAUGUAUUCUGAUGAGGCUGUUGAGUUUCAGGGAAAAAGAAAGAGCACUUCACAUGUGCAUCCAUGUCUUAGGAGAAGGCUAUGACCACAUUGGCCUCCAGGGUUUGUGCCUCAACUCUGACACCAAACACUGGAAUCUGCAGCUUUGUUCCAGCCACGUUUCUCCUCCAGCACAAUGACACUGCCGGCAGAUGACAGCUCCAUGUCUGCGCCGGGUCCAGGGCAACACGGAUGCGGGGUACACGGCUCUCCUCCUGAGCACCCUGCAGCCGCCAUCUCCUCCACCAGCCCCGCUUCCCUGCAGGGACCCAGGCCCUGCCCCUCCUCAGGGCUACCCCAAUUCU
rnacentral:lncRNA from 1 species